ensembl:lncRNA
CUGGUAUAUCAGUGUCAUAUAAAGGAAUCAACAGGAAAGGAGGGAUUAAAGACUGUGUGUUUGGAGACAAUGACAAAUCCUGGAGUCUGAACUGCUCUGAUUACAGAUUCACUGUCUGGCACAAUAAUAACAGCACUGUUAUACCUGCUGUCUCUUCAUCCUGUAAGAGAGUAGGAGUGUAUGUGGACGUGUCGGCCGGCUCUCUGUCCUUCUACAGCGUCUCUGACACACACACACUCACACACUUACACACAUUCAACACCACAUUCACUGAACCCCUCUACGCUGGGUUUAGGGUUGAAUAUUAUUCCUCAGUGUCUCUGUGUGAUAUUAAACAAUAGAGAGACUCUUUCUGAUGUUCACAUGCACACAAACUCAUCAAAUCUCACAUCAUUACAUUUCUAUCACACAUAACUGAAGCUGAAUGAAGAAACAGCUGAACGAUUGAUUGAUCAUCACAACAGUUAUGUCAGUUCAUGUCCUGAACUGGAUGUGCUGUACAUCAGUAAAAGUGUGAAGCGUAAUUCCAGGACAGUCCUGCUUCUAGUGUGGCUCUGUUCUGUUUCCAGGUUUCUGAGCUUCAUUAAGAGUUCAUCCCAGCUCAACAGAGCUCUAUUAAACAUCCAGAGAUGUGUUUGUUCAGAGCUGAAGGUUUCUGUGAGAAAAUAUCAGAAGAUUCAUGAGCCUUUUGUGUUUGUGUGUUUAUAUUCAGUUCAAUAUUUCCUGAAGCUCAUGCUGCUCAAAACCGUCUGAUGAAGUAGAACACAAUCUUCACACAGAUUCAGAAAAACUCAACCGCAAAACAUCUGGGUGCAUUAGUGUAUUGAGAUUAUUUAUAUCACAAUAAUGAGCAUUUGUGAGUUUAAGUGUCUGGAAAAUAAUGUUUCCCAGAUAAUAUCAGCAUAUUAAUGAGAGUUUAAAUGUGCUCUUCAGAGACUCUGAGCUGUUUGAGUCUUGUUUAGUAAACUGUCUUAGACGUUCACACUGAAAGAUUGAAUCCUGACAUCAGUUUGAGUUCAUAUGAUGUUAUUGUGAUUGGUAUUAAGACUAUAAAUGUUUUAUUAUUAGGAUGUUAUUAAGGUUAUAAAUGAUGUUUGGGUGCAGAAUGUAACUUAAAAACAUUGUGUGUCACAUUAAUUUCUGGAUAAACGAGAAGAUGUCAUCACAGAGACAUUAGAUGAGUCCCAAAUGUGAUUUCUAGUGAGUUCUGCUGAAACAUGAGACGCUGGCGACAGCUGCUCGUCAAAACUCAGUCCAAAACUCAGUCCAAACAUGAAUAAUGACAGCUUUUUAGAAAACAAUUACAGCUGUUUUCAUGACUGGGUCAUUUAUGAACUCUAAUCUACAAAUAAUGAAACCACAUUAAAUAUAAUUGUCUGUAUAAUCUGUGUUCUUUUAUUAAUUUGUAACUUGUAAAAUCAGCACAGAUACAUGUGAGAUAUGUAAUUGUAAAGAAAUGUAAAUGAACUGUAUAUGAACUAGAUGAGUAGAAUGUAACUGAGAAGUGUUCUGUCACACACUCCAGUGCAGUAGGUGGCGCUGAACACAUUUAUCAGUGUUCAUUUAUGUAUGUUGUUCUCACCUGAGGUCUCUUGCGCACGCGCGGUCUGCAUCACGAGGACACGCCUUUGUGUCGAAACCGAAAGUAGAGUCUCAAUACUCACCGAGUGUAAAUUCACAUUUCCAAGAGUUACAAACUGGCAUAAAAAUAACAUUACGGUAAGUUCAGUUAUAAGCUUUUGAUUUCUUGUCAUAUUAUUGUACAGUGUUUGUUGCUUUCAUACUAAACUCGAGCUUUAACCUGUUGUAGUGAGUUGUGACGCUUGUAAAAUCGAGUAGCAUCUGCCUGCAAAACCAGAGGCUGCAUUUUCAGGACCGCAAUCCUAGGACCGCAUUUCUAGGACCCUAGGUUUUUAGUGACAACGCCACCUAGCGAAUUAGAGGACCAGUGAAGAUGGAGGACAAUCAGAGUGUGAGUAUCAAAUGUGAAUCAAUUCUUAUUUGUUCAACAUUAAAAACAAUUGUGAUGCAUUUCAUUGGAAAGUUAACGUAGCUGAAGUGUUCGUGAUUUGCUAAAUAGUCUUGAAUGCAUAUAGCCAUCAUAAAUUAACCUCUGAUUCGUUUUAUGAAUCUGUUGCAUGACUGGUAAGCUUGUGUUGACUUAGUGACAGCACAAUAAACUCUAGCACGUUUGUUGUGAAAGCUUGUUA